rnacentral:tRNA from 1 species
CCCUCUGUAGCUCAGUUGGUUAGAGCGCUGCACCGGAAUCGCAGGGCGUAGGUUCAAUUCCUACCAGAGGAC